rnacentral:rRNA from 1 species
UACAGAGGGUGCGAGCGUUAAUCGGAAUUACUGGGCGUAAAGCGCACGUAGGUGGUUUUGUAAGUCGGAUGUGAAAUCCCCGGGCUCAACCCGGGAACUGCAUUCGAGACUGCAUUACUCGAGUAUGGGAGAGGGAAGCGGAAUUUCCGGUGUAGCGGUGAAAUGCGUAGAUAUCGGAAGGAACAUCAGUGGCGAAAGCGGCUUCCU